CUCUCAGACCCCAGGAAGGUUGCUCCGAUGAGGGUUUGGCCCCAUCCAACUCCCAAAACCCUUCCUUGGACUGGCUCUAGCAUUGUCAUGGGGGAACUUGAUGUCAUAGAUCCAGCCUGCCGGCAGCUGACUCCCACCGAUGCUGGCUCCAAGGGAAUAAUAAUAAUAACCCUACUUUUGUGAGAUAUUGUGGGCAUUCAGUGAGAUUAUGCAUGUAGAGCAUGCAUUAAGUGCUGCUUUUUUUUAUUAGGAUAAGUUCAUUUAUACUAACUAACCACUCUCAUUUUUAUGAGAUUUUUAGAAGAGUAUGGUUGUAGGAUUCUGGAUAUCGGUGGCUCAGUUAGUGAGGGCCAGUUCCAAGAGGACGAGUCUACCAAGUUAGAUGCACAGUGGAGUAAAGACAGAUGCCAGGAGUGUGCUAUGGAGGCGUGAGGUGAGUGCCUCUGUGUGAGGAGCAGGUAAAGGGGGCGUGGCAAAUGGGAAGAACUCUGCAAUAGAAACUGAGCCCCGUGGAGGAUGAAGGAGAGUUAGUUCCAGCAAUGCUGCAGGUAAUGAUAAUGGUGAGCCAGAGGCACUGGAGAAGAAGCCCUGCCUGCUGCUUCUGCAGUGCCUGUUUCUCCAGUGCCUGUUAAAGAGUGGUGUUUUGUGGAGUUUGGGUUAUUACCUGUGGAUUGCUCAGCCUGUUGACUGACUGGGGGAGGCUCUUUAGAGAAGGAGUUACGAGGUGAGCCUUCUAGCAGCACCAAUAUGUUCCCAAAAUAUUGUGAAAACUCAAGAAGAGUGCAAAAUGUCACUCAUUACCCAGAAAAUUUCCAGUAUUCGCUGAAUUUGUGACAGACACUAUGAAGAAGUGGGAUCUCUUUGUCCACCUCUUGAAUUUGGAUUGGCCUCUUGAUUUGCAGUGGCCAAUUCAGCAUUAGUAAAUGGGUCAGAAGCAAAGAUCUGGGGCCUUGGGGCUGGCCCUCUCCUGCUGCAGACCACCAUGUGAAAAAGCCUGAGCUAGUCAGCUGGAGUGUGAGCAACCACGUGGGGGGAACCAAGGGACCCCGGCUAAGAGCUGCCAACUUCCAGACAUGCCAAGAAAGCUCAGCCAGGUCAUCCAGCUGCCAGUGGCCACAGACACAGUGGGAGAGCCCAGAAGGGACCACCUGAUUCACAUCCUGUGAAUCAUGAGGUAAAUAAAAUGGCCAUCCCUUAAGGCCACGGGUUCAGGAAUAGUGUGCUAUGCAGCAAAAGUGAUCAGCAUUCAGUCAAAGCUAGCUGCUGCCAGGUCUUAUUCAUUGGAGAGAAAUAGAUAGUUA
rnacentral:lncRNA from 1 species